rnacentral:rRNA from 1 species
UAAGACUGGAUAGGAGAUAAGAAGGCAUCUUUUUAUUUUUAAAAGACCUAGCAAUAGGUAUGCUUAGGGAAGAGCUUGCGUCACAUUAGUUAGUUGGUGGGGUAAUGGCCUACCAAGACGAUGAUGUGUAGCCGGGCUGAGAGGUCGAACGGCCACAUUGGGACUGAGACACGGCCCAAACUCCUACGGGAGGCAGCAGUAAGGAAUUUUCGGCAAUGGAGGAAACUCUGACCGAGCAAUGCCGCGUGAACGAUGAAGUAUUUCGGUACGUAAAGUUCUUUUAUUAGGGAAGAAAAGAUGGUGGAAAAACCAUUAUGACGGUACCUAAUGAAUAAGCCCCGGCUAACUAUGUGCCAGCAGCCGCGGUAAUACAUAGGGGGCAAGCGUUAUCCGGAAUUAUUGGGCGUAAAGGGUGCGUAGGCGGUUAAAUAAGUUUAUGGUCUAAGUGCAACGCUCAACGUUGUGAUGCUAUAAAAACUGUUUAGCUAGAGUUGGAUAGAGGCAAGUGGAAUUCCGUGUGUAGUGGUAAAAUGCGUAAAUAUACGGAGGAACACCAGAAGCGAAGGCGGCUUGCUGGGUCUUAACUGACGCUGAGGCACGAAAGCGUGGGGAGCAAACAGGAUUAGAUACCCUGGUAGUCCACGCCCUAAACGAUGAGUACUAAACGUUGGAUAAAACCAGUGUUGAAGUUAACACAUUAAGUACUCCGCCUGAGUAGUACGUACGCAAGUAUGAAACUUAAAGGAAUUGACGGGACUCCGCACAAGCGGUGGAUCAUGUUGUUUAAUUCGAAGGUACCCGAAAAACCUCACCAGGUCUUGACAUGCUUUUGCAAAGCUGUAGAAAUACAGUGGAGGUUAUCAGAAGCACAGGUGGUGCAUGGUUGUCGUCAGCUCGUGUCGUGAGAUGUUGGGUUAAGUCCCGCAACGAGCGCAACCCUUGUUGUUAAUUGCCAUCAUUAAGUUGGGGACUUUAGCAAGACUGCCAAUGAUAAAUUGGAGGAAGGUGGGGACGACGUCAAAUCAUCAUGCCCCUUAUGACCUGGGCUACAAACGUGAUACAAUGGCUGUUACAAAGGGUAGCUAAAGCGUAAGCUUCUGGCGAAUCUCAAAAAAGCAGUCUCAGUUCGGAUUGAAGUCUGCAACUCGACUUCAUGAAGUUGGAAUCGCUAGUAAUCGCGAAUCAGCAUGUCGCGGUGAAUACGUUCUCGGGGUUUGUACAC